CCUUAACACAAGAGAAAAGUGGAACGGCUUACAAAUGCACAGCUUGCUCUAUUAAAAAGAAGGAAUUCAAGUUUGCAAUUGACAAGAGGUUUCUGAAGGAGCCACCAACAGAUUUAUUUAGUAAGCUCUCCCUUGCAUCUGAAGCCCAGAACAAUGCAAAACCUCAGUCCAAAAGUGCCUUUGCCUGCUAAGGUUUUAACCUCUUCGAAAUCUCCGUCUGUAAAACCAAAAAGAAAACAGACCAAGCUCCUUUCAUCGACAACUCUGAGGUACAACAUCAGCCUUUCACAAUGUUCCUAAUCGAGAAUAGUUUCUGGCUCAUUGAAUUUUCUGAAGAAGCAAAAGACUAGCCAAGUUUUAGAUAUAUCAAAAUCAUAUAUCUGACUUAAUUGAAUGCUUCUUUCUACACACCGCUCAUAGACCAUCAAAUUGUUGAUGAUGGCACAUGCGGUCAAAGAAGCAUCAUUUUGGCAUGAUUUGAGGUUGGGUAUUCUAUUUUCUGCUGUUAUGUUGUGAACGUUACGAGCAUGUACCUACAGGUUCACUUUGUUAAGAAAAUAUGAAAGAAAAAAGGGAAAAAUAGAAUUGAAUGUCUUAAAUUCCCAGUU